UACGUAGGGCGCAAGCGUUGUCCGGAUUUAUUGGGCGUAAAGGGCUCGUAGGCGGCCAACUAAGUCGGACGUGAAAUCCCUCGGCUUAACCGGGGAACUGCGUCCGAUACUGGAUGGCUUGAGUUCGGGAGAGGGAUGCGGAAUUCCAGGUGUAGCGGUGAAAUGCGUAGAUAUCUGGAGGAACACCGGUGGCGAAGGCGGCAUCCUGGACCGACACUGACGCUGAGGAGCGAAAGCCAGGGGAGCAAACGGG
rnacentral:rRNA from 1 species